CCCUCCCCUACCUCCAGGAAAAGGCUGUUCAUGCUGGGUGAGCUCUAAGUCAUGUCAGUAUAGAUAGCUUUGCAAGUGGGGUCUUCCAUGAAAUUACCAGGUUCAUUGGUAUAUGUGCAGACUUUUUCUAUAGGUAAAUUGCUUGCUGUGGGAGUUUGGUGUACAGACUUUCAUCACCCAGGGUAACAUAGCAAGAAGGUCCUCACAAGAUGUCAGCACCAUGCUCUUGGACUUCCCUACUUCUAGAACUGUGACCAAAUAAAACCCUAUUCUUUAUAAAUUACCUAGCUUUUGUUAUGCUGUUACAACAGCAGAAAAUGGAUUAAGACACCCACUCACAUAUAUUUUCUUCUUUGUCUUUUUAAUACUGUGAAACAGAAUUUUUUAGUUAAUUUAGUUAUUCUUAUAUUAGACUUUUCCAUUUAUGAAAGAAUGAGUUCUUACAAUGGACCUCUUUGAUACCAUUGACUUGAAUGUGUAAUAGGAAGAACUCUAAGGCUUCUGAAAUAAUCCAACUGUUUAUCUGCAAAACCACCUGCAGCCAGAAAGUGAGAUAACAAAAUCACUGAAGAAAUCAAAACAUGAGAGUUGAAUCACAAAACCUCACUUUAUCUUGAUGAUUUUCUAUGGAAGGUAUAUACCUCAGCACAUCGAUAAAAGGACAAUUUUGUGUACUAAAACAAAGGAGGUCAUUAUAAGGAUAUAAAAACCAAUGGUGUUAAAAGCAGCACUAAUGCUCAGCAGACUAAAACCAAGUAAUCCAGUGUAAUAAAAUGGUUAGGUUGGAGUCUUAAUAGAUUGUAAUUGUUAGGAGAAUAAAUCACAGCUAAAAUAUUUCUCUAUCUAUGAGAUAAGCAUUGGAAAUAAUUUUAAAAUUCAGAGACCUCAACACUAAAGGUAGAAAAUAUUUCCUUUCCUAUUAGAGUACUAAAAAAGAGUAACUGAAAUGAAUAUUACUAAACUAACAUUUUUUCUAUUUAAGUGUUUUGCUAUCACAAACUGAAAGAAAAAUUAACGUUUCAGAUUAUUUAGGAGAAUGAGCCAGGGAUUGCAAAUAUCUCACCUCAAAUAUCGUUUUUGUUUUUUGUUUUUUGUUUUUUUUUUUUUGAGAUGGA
rnacentral:lncRNA from 1 species